rnacentral:piRNA from 1 species
UAGUGGAAAAUUUAUAGAAUU